AGCGAACGCUGGCGGCGUGCCUAACACAUGCAAGUCGAGCGCAGGCAUUUCGGGGGUAACCUUGAGGUGUGCUGAGCGGCGGACGAGUGAGUAAUACGUGGACAACCUACCUUCAAGCCUGGGAUAACCUCCGGGAAACUGGAGCUAAUACCGGAUAAGACCACGGCGUCCAUGGAUGCUGAGGUAAAGGGCGGCCGGGUAACUGGCUGUCACUUAAAGACGGGUUCGCGUCCCACCAGGUAGUUGGUGAGGUAACGGCUCACCAAGCCUAAGACGGGUAGCUGGCCUUAGGCGGGUGGUCAGCCACACGGGGACUGAGAUACGGCCCCGACUCCUACGGGAGGCAGCAGUGGGGAAUCUUGGGCAAUGGGCGAAAGCCUGACCC
rnacentral:rRNA from 1 species